AAUCCAACACACAAACUCCUCUUUUUCUCUCCCAAUACUCACUCUCUCGGCUCUCUCUGGGCUAAAAAAAAUGGAACAGACAAGAAGAAAAAAAGCACUCAAUCUCCCUCACUCUGACUCUCAGCUCUCUCCAUCAUCAGAGAAGCCACAAAGAAAAAAGAAAAUCUCCAUCCAUCUCGGCUCUCUCCCUCAAAAGAGGAAAUAAACAAAAAAAGCAUUCUCCACUCCCCACUCUCGGCCCUUUCUUUGGUUCCCAACACACUCACACACAACUUCAAACAAGAACAAAAAAAAGAGGGACAGCUAUCGGUUGGACAAUUAGAGCUUGGAACUUCCUCAAAUUUUGGUCAAGGGACCAUAACCCUCAUUGAGGAAAUGGAACCUACGCGAAAAAUCGAGUGAUGGGGUGUAUUUUGAGAAAAUUUGGUGACCGGAGAGAUCGCCGGCGGCGUUCCGGUGGUGGUGCCGCCGGAGGCAACCAUGGCCGCCAGAGGGAGAAACUUCAGCGUCUCAGUGGAAGAAGAAGAAAGAAAAGAAGAAGAAGAGGAGAAAGAAAAGAAAGAAAAAUGGCUUGGGCUAAUGUUUUAUCUUCGGUUGGGCAAAGAGUUAGUUUUGGUUGGGUUUUGGAAAUGGUUUUGGUUUAUUUCUUUUGGGUUUCUAUUUGGGCUAGAAGGCCAGACCCAUGCUUUAUUUUUGGUUGGGUUUGAAGACCGGCUGGCCUGUGUGUUUCGGCUUGGACUUUCGGCUGGGCUUAGGUAGUUUGUGGCCCAAAGAAAUAAAUAAUGGCCCAGUGGCCUGUUUUCUUAA